GUUCCUACACUAAUGUUUCUUUUUGGGAUUUUCUAGUAUAAAUUUGGGGCUACUAAUAAUUAGAGUUUUAAUAACUAUGCUUGGAUAUUAGGAUUAUGCAUUACUAAGGGAGUGACAUAUGGGAGUUAAUCCUCAACAUCGAUUAAGUAAGUCAAAUAUCGGUAGGUUUGGUUAUAGAUUUUGAUGCUGGUCAUUCAACAAAACACCAAACUUUCACACAUUGAUCCGUUUG
rnacentral:lncRNA from 1 species